UCCUGGGAUGGACGAAGCCAGGUGUCUACAGGCCCUGCCCUGAGCCCUGUCCCAGAACAGCUAGAACAGGCACAGUUCAUAGUGGUUUUUUGUUUGUUUGUUUGAGACAGAGUUUUGCUCCUGUUGCCCAGGCUGGAGUGCAAUGGCACAAUCUUGGCUCACUGCAACCUCUGCCUCCCGGGUUCAAGUGAUUCUCCUGCCUCAGCCUCCCAAAUAGCUGGGAUUACAAGCACCCGCCACCAUGUCCAGCUAGUAGAGACGGGGUUUCACCAUAUUGGCCAAGCUGGUCUCGAACUUCUGACCUCAGGUGAUCCACCUGCCUCGGCCUCCCAAAGUGCUGGGAUUACAGGCGUGAACCACUUCACCCGGCCCCAUAGUGUUCUUUAAAGCAUAUAUAUGUAGGUCUAGAUGUAAUGAGCGUAACACAUAAUGACAGUUCUUUACAUUGGCUACUAGACUUGUAAAUAGUUUCAUUUUUAUAAUAUUUUAUUUAUUUAUUUAUAUUUGUUGAGAUAGGGUGUCAUUGUAUCACCCAGGCUGGAGUGCAGUUGUGUGAUCAUAACUCACUGCAGCCUCGACCUCCCUGGUUCAAUCGAUCCCCCCACCUCAGCCUCCCAAGUAGCUGGGACCACAUCCGUGCACCACCACGCCCAGCUAAUUUUAAAAUUUUUUUGUACAGAUAAGGUCUCCCUAUGUUGCCCAGGCUGGCCUUGAAUUCUUGGGCUCAAGCAAUCCUCCUACCUUGGCCUCCCAAAGUGCUGGGAUUACAGGCAUGAGCCACUACACCCAGCCUAUAACAAAAUUUUAUGAGAUUUAACAAAAUUUUCAAAAAAAUGACAAGAUUUUCAGGUUCAUUUAGAUCAUUUUGUCUUAAAACUUCGAUAGUCAAUGAUUAUAUUUCUUUUUAUUUUUAAUAGAAACAUUGAAUAUCUUAGAAAGAAAAGAACGCUUGAAAAUUAUAUGAAAAUAAUUUUAGGUUUUUAUUGUUUUUAUUUAAUUUGCUUUUUUUUUCUUCUUCUUGAGACAGAGUCUUGCUCUGUUACUCAGGCUGGAGUGCAGUGGCGCAAUCUCAGCUCACUGCAACCUCCGUCACCUGGGCUCAAGCAAUUCUCCCACCUUAGCCU
rnacentral:lncRNA from 10 species